rnacentral:rRNA from 1 species
AGAUACCCGUGUAGUCCCAGCCGUAAACUAUGCUCGCUAGGUGUCAGGCAUGGCGCGACCGUGUCUGGUGCCGCAGGGAAGCCGUGAAGCGAGCCACCUGGGAAGUACGGCCGCAAGGCUGAAACUUAAAGGAAUUGGCGGGGGAGCACAACAACGGGUGGAGCCUGCGGUUUAAUUGGACUCAACGCCGGACAACUCACCGGGGACGACAGCAAUAUGUAGGCCAGGCUGAAGGCCUUGCCUGAAUCGCUG